CAUCAAUUAAAACAAUCACAGUCUCAAUCUUUUCAACAACAAAACUUAAUGUUACCCCAAUCACAAUCAAUGAAUUUAGGAUUAACACGAAGUUCAACCAUGUCAACACCAACUUCUUCAACAACAAUAACCUCAACUUCUACUAGCCAUAAGCCUUCCUUAAAUGAACUGAGAAGAGCUUUCUUUACUAGUCCAUCAACAGCGAUCACAUCAACACAACGUUUAUAUCGACCUACAGCUAACGCAUCAGCUUCAUCUUUAAUAUCAACUCUACAGUCUUCACCUCCUUCAACCUCACCUUCGCCCUCGUCUUCCCCUUCAACCUCACCUUCGCCCUCGUCUUCCCCUUCAACCUCACCUUCGCCCUC
rnacentral:lncRNA from 1 species